GUGACCAAUAUUAUUCAAUCAGAGCGUUCGAUGCAGGGGUACACGGAUCUACCUUGGUACACACAACACGGGUGCUGUUCGUUAGAUUAAACAUUGACUAGAACGCUGGAUACGGAAUAGACGUUUCUUUUGCUUGAACAACCAUAAAACAACUAUCAACACGCUGGAUUCUGUAUCAAAGAAGGCAGGCAUACCUGUGAUAUCGCUAGCGGACCUACACAUGCAGUGUGGACAAACAGGUGGUGUUUCUGAACGUUCGAACGCCGCAGCAGACAACAGUGGAAAUAUGAUUCACAAUAACCAAACAGUAAACGCUUUUAAAAAGUGUAACAUCACUAUCUAUAACAAGGAGACAACAUCAGUUGUCAGAAGAGAGCAAGACAUACCAGUUGCUGACAGAUGUCCUGGUCCAAACCAAACGUCAAGUGGGGCUGUGGCAACGCCUCG